rnacentral:rRNA from 1 species
UACGUAGGGUGCAAGCGUUGUCCGGAAUUAUUGGGCGUAAAGAGCUCGUAGGCGGUCUGUCGCGUCUGCUGUGAAAACUCGGGGCUUAACCCCGGGCCUGCAGUGGGUACGGGCAGACUAGAGUGCGGUAGGGGAGACUGGAAUUCCUGGUGUAGCGGUGAAAUGCGCAGAUAUCAGGAGGAACACCGGUGGCGAAGGCGGGUCUCUGGGCCGUAACUGACGCUGAGGCGCGAAGGCGUGGGGAGCGAACGGG